rnacentral:rRNA from 1 species
GACGAACGCUGGCGGCGUGCUUAACACAUGCAAGUCGAACGGUAAGGCCCUUCGGGGUACACGAGUGGCGAACGGGUGAGUAACACGUGGGUGAUCUGCCCUGCACUUCGGGAUAAGCCUGGGAAACUGGGUCUAAUACCGGAUAGGACCCUGGGAUGCAUGUCCUGGGGUGGAAAGCUUUUGCGGUGUGGGAUGGGCCCGCGGCCCAUCAGGUUGUUGGGGGGGUGAGGGCAUACCGAGGCGACGAGGGGUAGGCGGCCUGGGAGGAUGACCGGCCACACUGGGACUGAGAGACGGCCCAGACUCCGACGGGAGGCAGCAGUGGGGAAUAUUGCACAAGGGGCGCAAGCCUGAUGCAGCGACGCUGCGUGAGGGAUGACGGCCUUCGGGUUGUAAACCUCUUUCAGCACCGACGAAGCGCAAGUGACGGUAGGUGCAGAAGAAGGACCGGCCAACUACGUGCCAGCAGCCGCCGUAA